AGCAGCCGCGGUAAUUCCAGCUCCAAUAGCGUAUAUUAAAGUUGUUGCAGUUAAAAAGCUCGUAGUUGAAUUUCGGGAUCAAUAUGCCGGUCAUGCCUUGGUAUGCACUGGUAUCUUUGAUUUCUCCCUUCUGACGAACUUUGAUGUCAUUAAUUUGGUGUCAUAGGGAAUUAGAACUGUUACUUUGAAAAAAUUAGAGUGUUUAAAGCAGGCUCACGCUUGAAUGCAUUAGCAUGGAAUAAUGAAAUAGGACGUUUGAUUCUAUUUUGUUGGUUUCUAGGAUCGACGUAAUGAUUAAUAGGGAUAGUUGGGGGCAUUAGUAUUCAAUUGUCAGAGGUGAAAUUCUUGGAUUUAUUGAAGACUAACUACUGCGAAAGCAUUUGCCAAGGAUGUUUU
rnacentral:rRNA from 1 species